GUUAUAUAACAGGAUAUAGAAGAGGCAGAUCAUUAUUUUCACACUCCAUCACAGCAGGUGGCGGUAUGCACCUUUAAAGUUGGUUCGUAACCCGCCAUUAAACCAAAAGAAGAAGAUGAAGAUCGUAACGUCAGCUCAUCGUAAGCAUUAGAUUAUUCACCCAGUGUUUAUUCACAAGAUUGACCAAAUCUUAUUUAGAUGACCAAAUUAUGAACAAUGACCCACCCUGAGGCUGUAAGAGUGUGCCUGAUGAGAGAAUGCAUACUUGAACCAGUUAUAAGACUUAAUAUAUUCAAGAAGACCAAGCGAUCCUUAUAGGACUACAUGCAAAGCAAUGUACUCCAGACCGCACAACUGGACAUACAAAUUGUGCCCUGAUGCCAUCUGCCCCGUUCUCCCAGCCUCAUCUUCCCUCUCUAUGCCUAGCUUUAAAUCGGUUGGCUCUUCUUUUGGCUCUCUUCAUCCCGUCUGCCUGCCUCGCUGCUCUCCCUGAUAACAUUUCCUGACUGAUGCCUUGCACUCUGACUCUUUCUGCAAGGUGCCAUUCUGAGCAGUGACUCAAUUUAGUGCCACUCUGCUGCUUGGCAUUGCACUUCUGAGGUCAUCACCAUCUUUCUUCAGCCAACCAAAAUGAUUCUCACCAACCACCCCAGCUCUGCUAAGCUUGAUGUUGGAGGUCUGCUGUUUUUGAAGCAGGGGACCACUGUCCAUUAAAGGCUUCAUAAACCAUUUAACAAAAUCACAUAAGAUAGGGUAGUUCAUACUCCAUGCGAUGUGCCAUACAAUGGAAGGGCCAUGUUCCUUAUCACAUCUGGAUGCUGCAAAGCUCCUGUCUCCUCAACAAUUUACGAACUAAUCAAUUAUUAAAUGAAGAAAUGCUAUGUAAAUGCAAAGAUAUUUCUUCCUGUGGAAUUUGAGUCUUAAAUUUAGUAAUUACUGUUUUAUGGCAUAAAUAAAAGUUAAAUAUUAUAUUA